rnacentral:rRNA from 1 species
GACGAACGCUGGCGGCGUGCCUAACACAUGCAAGUCGAGCGAAUGAAGUUCCUUCGGGAAUGGAUUUAGCGGCGGACGGGUGAGUAACACGUGGGCAACCUGCCUCAUAGAGGGGAAUAGCCUUCCGAAAGGGAGAUUAAUACCGCAUAAGAUUGUAGUACCGCAUGAUACAGCAAUUAAAGGAGUAAUCCGCUAUGAGAUGGGCCCGCGGCGCAUUAGCUAGUUGGUGAGGUAACGGCUCACCAAGGCGACGAUGCGUAGCCGACCUGAGAGGGUGAUCGGCCACAUUGGGACUGAGACACGGCCCAGACUCCUACGGGAGGCAGCAGUGGGGAAUAUUGCACAAUGGGGGAAACCCUGAUGCAGCAACGCCGCGUGAGUGAUGACGGCCUUCGGGUUGUAAAGCUCUGUCUUCAGGGACGAUAAUGACGGUACCUGAGGAGGAAGCCACGGCUAACUACGUGCCAGCCGCCGCAGUAA